ensembl:lncRNA
CUGCAGGUCUCUGUGUGUUAUGAUAAAGACUAGUCUGUACUGCAGGUCUCUGUGUGUUAUGAUAAAGACUAGUCUGUACUACAGGUCUCUGUGUGUUAUGAUAAAGACACUAGUCUGUAUUGCAGGUCUCUGUGUGUUAUGAUAAAGACACUAGUCUGUACUGCAGGUCUCUGUGUGUUAUGAUAAAGACACUAGUCUGUACUGCAGGUCUCUGUGUGUUAUGAUAAAGACUAGUCUGUACUGCAGGUCCCUGUGUGUUAUGAUAAAGACACUAGUCUGUACUGCAGGUCUCUGUGUGUUAUGAUAAAGACACUAGUCUGUACUGCAGGUCCCUGUGUGAUAUGAUAAAGACACUAGUCUGUACUGCAGGUCUCUGUGUGUUAUGAUAAAGACUAGUCUGUACUGCAGGUCUCUGUGUGAUAUGAUAAAGCCACUGGUCUGUACUGCAGGUCUCUGUGUGAUAUGAUAAAGACUAGUCUGUACUGCAGGUCUCUGUGUGAUAUGAUAAAGCCACUAGUCUGUACUGCAGGUCUCUGUGUGAUAUGAUAAAGACUAGUCUGUACUGCAGGUCUCUGUGUGAUAUGAUAAAG